GCGCCCGACCUCCAACCCUUUGUUGUUAAAACUACCUUGUUGCUUUGGCGGGACCGCUCGGUCUCGAGCCGCUGGGGAUUCGUCCCAGGCGAGCGCCCGCCAGAGUUAAACCAAACUCUUGUUAUUAAACCGGUCGUCUGAGUUAAAAUUUUGAAUAAAUCAAAACUUUCAACAACGGAUCUCUUGGUUCUCGCAUCGAUGAAGAACGCAGCGAAAUGCGAUAAGUAAUGUGAAUUGCAGAAUUCAGUGAAUCAUCGAAUCUUUGAACGCACAUUGCGCCCCUUGGUAUUCCGAGGGGCAUGCCUGUUCGAGCGUCAUUACACCACUCAAGCUAUGCUUGGUAUUGGGUGCCGUCCUUAGUUGGGCGCGCCUUAAAGACCUCGGCGAGGCCUCACCGGCUUUAGGCGUAGUAGAAUUUAUUCGAACGUCUGUCAAAGGAGAGGACUUCUGCCGACUGAAACCUUUAUUUUUCUAGGUUGACCUCGGAUCAGGUAGGGAUACCCGCUGAACUUAAGCAUAUCAAUAGCCGGGGAGGAA
rnacentral:rRNA from 1 species